rnacentral:rRNA from 1 species
UGGGGAAUUUUGGACAAUGGGCGCAAGCCUGAUCCAGCCAUGCCGCGUGGGUGAAGAAGGCCUUCGGGUUGUAAAGCCCUUUCGGCUGGGACGAAAAGGUCCGUGUUAACAGCGCGGAUCCAUGACGGUACCAGCAGAAGAAGCACCGGCUAACUACGUGCCAGCAGCCGCGGUAAUACGUAGGGUGCAGGCGUUAAUCGGAAUUACUGGGCGUAAAGCGUGCGCAGGCGGUCUGCUAAGACAGGUGUGAAAUCCCCGGGCUUAACCUGGGAACUGCGCUUGUAACUGGCAGGCUGGAGUGUGGCAGAGGGGGGUGGAAUUCCACGUGUAGCAGUGAAAUGCGUAGAGAUGUGGAGGAACACCGAUGGCGAAGGCAGCCCCCUGGGCUAACACUGACGCUCAUGCACGAAAGCGUGGGGAGCAAACAG